UCACUCUCUUUCUAGCUUUUGAGAGGGAAGGACUUGGCUGCCUGGGAGCUGAGCAGGGACCUGUAGUAUGGCAGUGCUGGGGGAGAGGCAAGAGGGGCUGGGGAGCUCCAGCCUGAUAGCCCCCCAGACUGCAGGGCCUUGUGUGGGACCUAAACCAGGUGCUGAGGCGGCCUGGGGCUAGGCAGAGGCAGCAGUUCCUACCCCUGGCUUGCCAAUGAUGAGUGGCCAUUACAGGCUGCAGUUGACCCUAGUGAUUGGGGGCUAAAUGAUGACUGGCAGUAGGCCCAGAGGCAAGGUGGGAUUAGGGGGUUGGGGUUCCCUGGGGAGGGGAGACCCAGAGACUGAGGGGAUACUCCUGGGGCAGAACCCCCAGACAAAGCUGCACCAGGGUCCGGAAGAGACACAGGGACCAAUGGUGGCAAUGACAGUGGCCUGCAGAGGGUGCUCCAGAGCUGGAAAUGAGCUAAUUCCCAGACAGCCAGUAGGAGGUGCCGCAGGGCUCACCUGAUCCUGAUCAAUAACCCAUUGGGGAACCUUCCAGUGGGACCAACUUUUAAUUUAUCUCCCAAUUUCCUCUCUGGAGACCAGGCAUCAGAUCUAAUUACUGUGCCUGUUUGCUGCAUUUUCACCGCCCACAUUUUCUUCUCCUCCUGAGCAUCUGGAGGAUAUUAUACUUCCUGACGGGGAAGCAAAGUUUCAACAAUGCAAAGGAAAGGCUUAAUUCAGGCCCUGUGGAUGCAAGGUGCAAAACACUCCGCCCUUCCAGAGAAAGGGCAGAGAGUGUGCGAGCAUGAGAGAACUAUUCAUUGGAGAGGCAACAGCACGCUCGGACCAACAAAUGUGACAGGGACACAAGGAUGGAGGAGACAGGUGGCUGGAAGGAUGAGCUGACAAAUUGAAUGCAGAGUCUAAUGCAUGGGACAAGUGAACAAAGGAAAGAAAGCAAGAAUGAAUCACAUUAACUGCGAUUCCAUAAACAGAGAUCAUGAGUCCUCCCUCUGUUUAAUAGCCAUAGGCUUGGAUUUCCAAAACAUCCUCAGCCACUGAAAUUCAAGGGGAAUUGGGAACCUAAGCUUCUUUGAAUAUCCUUUGCU